rnacentral:rRNA from 1 species
AAGUCUGAUGGAGCACGCCGCGUGAGUGAAGAAGGGUUUCGGCUCGUAAAACUCUGUUGUUAAAGAAGAACAUAUCUGAGAGUAACUGUUCAGGUAUUGACGGUAUUUAACCAGAAAGCCACGGCUAACUACGUGCCAGCAGCCGCGGUAAUAC